rnacentral:snoRNA from 1 species
GUCUCUUUUUUAAUACGCUGUCUAAGACAAGUGCGAAAGUAAGUCCUCUUUUGCAACCCACAACUCAUUGUUCAGUAUGAGUUUUGAUACAGAUAAGAAGGAACGUG